rnacentral:rRNA from 1 species
GAUGAACGCUGGCGGCGUGCCUAAUACAUGCAAGUCGAGCGAACAGACGAUGAGCUUGCUCCUCUGACGUUAGCGGCGGACGGGUGAGUAACACGUGGAUAACCUACCUAUAAGACUGGGAUAACUGCGGGAAACCGGAGCUAAUACCGGAUAAUAUAUUGAACCGCAUGGUUCAAUAGUGAAAUACGGUUUUGCUGACACUUAUAGAUGGAUCCGCGGCGCAUUAGCUAGUUGGUAAGGUAACGGCUUACCAAGGCAACGAUGCGUAGCCGACCCGCGAGGGUGAUCGGGCACUCUGGGGCUGAAACGCGGUACAGACUCCGACGGGAGGCAGCAGUAGGGAAGCGUGCGCGAUGGGGGGAAGCCUGACGGAGCAGCGCCGCGUGGGUGAAGAGGGGCUGCGGAGCGGAAAACGCUGUUAGUAGUGAAGACCAAAUGUGUAAGGAACUAUGCACUUCUUGACGGUACCUAAUCAGAAAGCCACGGCUAACUACGUG